GGAGGAUAUAACCAACGGAGACGCCAUGUCUAAAAUUUUCGGUACAAAAUAGUCUGCCGUUUUUUGCGGGGGAGGGGCACAUCAAAUGUAUAGGUACGUCAUGUCAGAUAAACGUCAGUCCAUACAUAUGGUUGACAUGAGGUUGACCAUUGGCCGCCUAUUUUUGACAGAGGGGAACGCCUGUUAAUGGCGGCUCCAUUGUUAAUUACUCCGAGUAAAAUAGUAAAUUCCUUUUGAUAAAUAAUCACGCUGAGAUAAUUUAUUUAUUAGUCAUUUUACUCCUACGAUUUAAAAAAGUACUUUUAUUUACUUAUUUUUACACAAGACGCUCUAGUAAAAAGUGGCAACAUUUCUUACUUUUUUUGGUCUUGAAUUAGGUACGUUUUGCAGUAUAAUGUGUAUUAUUAGAACCUCAAGUCGUUGAAACCUAAUAUGUAUGUGACAGUGUUUUAUUUUUGUAUUUUGAUAAAAUUUGUGUAAAUAAUUUUCUUAUUUUAUUGAUAUUAAACUCAAUUUAAUCAA